rnacentral:rRNA from 1 species
GUCUAUAUACGUAUAGCAUAUCAAUAAGCGGAGGAAAAGAAACUAACUAGGAUUCCCUCAGUAACGGCGAGUGAAGCGGGAAGAGCUCAAAUUUGAAAUCUUCAAGGUUUUACCUUGACGAAUUGUAGUUUAAAGAAGUGUUUUCUGUUGGUGUUUUGGUAAAAGUUCUUUGGAAUAGGACAUCAUAGAGGGUGAGAAUCCCGUAUUUGGUCAUUCCUCCUAGCGUUGUGAUACACUCUCAACGAGUCGGAUUGUUUGGGAAUGCAGUCCAAAAUGGGUGGUAAAUUUCAUCUAAAGCUAAAUAUUGGCGAGAGACCGAUAGCGAACAAGUGCCGUGAGGGAAAGAUGAAAAGAACUUUGAAAAGAGAGUUAAACAGUACGUGAAAUUGUCAAAAGGGAAGCGUUUGACACCAGUGUUGUUUUCUCGAAAAUCAAUUAAAAAAUGGCCUGGAUUUUGUGUUGUAUUGACUUUAUCAGCUUUCUUCACUUUUUCUUGUCUUUUUUAAUGCACUUUUCGUUUAACAAGUCAACAUCAAUUUCUUUUGUUGUAAAAGGGUCAUUGGAAGGUGGCUUUCUUUUCGGAGAAAGUGUUUAUAGCCUUUGGCCUCUGCAAUCGGAGAGAUUGAGGUCUGCAGCGUAGAUCCUUCGGGGUUAGAUACAUUUGUGCUAAGUUAUAGCCUUUCAUAGACAACUUGUUGACUAUGAUCAGUCAUGUAGCUUACUCGCUGAUGCUAUUUUACCUACGCUUAGGAUGUUGACUGAUAUGUAGUCGUA